UACGGGGGGGGCAAGCGUUGUUCGGAAUUACUGGGCGUAAAGGGCUCGUAGGCGGCCAACUAAGUCGGACGUGAAAUCCCCAGGCUCAACCUGGGAACUGCGUCUGAUACUGGAUGGCUUGAAUCCGGGAGAGGGAUGCAGAAUUCCAGGUGUAGCGGUGAAAUGCGUAGAUAUCUGGAGGAAUACCGGUGGCGAAGGCGGCAUCCUGGACCGAUACUGACGCUGAGGAGCGAAAGCCAGGGGAGCAAACGGG
rnacentral:rRNA from 1 species